rnacentral:piRNA from 1 species
UCAGAGAUUACAUGCCUCCUUCUAGCUCC